UGCUGUUAAGGACAAAAGCAGGACAAUUUGAAAGCCCCUCCAGGAACAUCACCACCAGUUCAGCGAUGACAAUGCUGUUCACAGAUGUCAGGACAAAUUCUUCGGCACGAAGGGUGAUGAGAGUGCAACUCUGUCCAAAUGAUUUCACUGCCCUAUGUAUUAACAAGUAGUUUGUUACCAGAGUAUCUGAAAAAUGUAGAGCUAUCUGCAAUCAC
rnacentral:lncRNA from 1 species